UUUAAAGAAUGAUGAUAUUUUCCAUGCACCACUCUUAAUGCUUAUUAAAGCAAGGUGCAGAUUAUGGAUAUCGAAGCUGAA
rfam:Drosophila busckii chromosome 3R sequence.